AGCGAACGCUGGCGGCAGGCUUAAUACAUGCAAGUCGAACGCACCCUUCGGGGUGAGUGGCGGACGGGUGAGUAACACGUGGGAAUGUGCCUUUAGGUUCGGAAUAACUCAGGGAAACUUGAGCUAAUACCGGAUGUGCCCCCAUUCUUUAGCGAGAGUGGGGGGAAAGGAUUUAUCGCCUUUAGAGCAGCCCGCGUCUGAUUAGCUAGUUGGUGGGGUAAAAGCCUACCAAGGCGACGACAGUAGCUGGUCUGAGAGGAUGGCCAGCCACACU
rnacentral:rRNA from 1 species